ensembl:lncRNA
AUAUGUGGACAGCCUGAACCCUGCUUCCAAUUAAUUCCUGAAAUCUGUUCUUCACAGGUGCUUCCUGUGAACUUACAAGGAAGAGAAGGCAAGGCAGAGAGAAAGGAGCUCUGAUUUUUUGCCAGCUGCAAAGCAGGGUACCAAUUUGUGAGGAGUUUCCUAUACACCCACUAUCAGUGCUGCAAGCUUCUGUUACCUUUUCAAUGAAUUCACUGAAAUAUAAAAUUUGGAACACAAAGAUGAGGAAAGAAGAGUCAUCUUGGCAACUAAGACAAGAAUGAAGAGUAAAUGAUAUAUCUUGAAUAUUGAGAUCGCUCCAGCAGAAGAUAUGAAAUAAGAUAUUGUGGAAACACUUCUAUACACAAUAAAUGCAUACAGAGGGACCUAGGAGCAAAUUGGUGAAGUUGUAGAUACAGAGAGGGAUGGUGCAGUUGUGGUUUAUGGAUAGUGCAGGAAAUGAUGAGAAUGGGCUCAUAUUUCACUAUAAAAUCUGGCUGCACUGAGCAAGGUGGAUCGGGUUCAGAUCUGAAAAAGAAUUGGAUGGUCUCUGCAUUUCAAAUGACUGCAAAGCAGUCACAGUUCACUUGAAGAGGACUGACUGGAUCUAGACUGGACCUAGGCUAAAGAUUGACUUUCAUCAGUAGUCACAACAAACAUCUUCCAGGCAUUUCUGUGACUGGUCUGCCCUAACAAUGGUGUCAUGAUGUUGGCUUGAGGCUCCCUUGAAGCUAGUAAGCUCCAGCUGUUUUCUGAGUUCUAAUCCGUACAGCUGGUGUGCUGUCAUCAUCUACUCUAACUACCUAUCCCACUUAAACACACCUUCAGAGCUGGAUGCAGGGCUGUAGGCCCCUGAAAGUACUCAAGCCACAGAAGGUAAGUAGAUGCAUAAAUUAGUGCAGAGCUGGUUAUGUGUCUCUACUCCCACAAAAUGCAGGGCACAGAGAGAAGUUUCUCUCACCCACCAAGGAAUCCUACUGAAGCCAGACAAAGUAAGAGUGUGAAAAGCUACUGGCAGGAGGGAGGGAGUCAGCUUUCAAGCGUCUUUUGUGAAGCCAUCUGCUCUUUGCUGGUAUCUAUCAGAGCAUUUACUCACCUAAAAGGAAAGAUAUCCUUGCAAAUAAAUCAACAGUGUUCAGGCUACUAUACAAUAGCGAUGAAAUUAAUUAAGCAUGCCUUGAGAAAAAAAUAUAAAUGCAUAUUUGUAUGUUUCACAUACAUUCAAACAGAAAAACAAAAUUCUAAAUUCUCUCUCUAAACAAGAAGAAAACAGCAAAAGC